rnacentral:lncRNA from 12 species
UGGUUGGAAUGUCCUUUUCUAUUCAGCAGUCUGACUCUAAUAACUUAGGGUGCUUUAUUUCAGGGGACACGCCAUCCCAAUAGUUUUGGAAUGUCUUUGGUUCACAGUGAGAUUUUUGUUCUAAAGGAAGUGGAGAGGCUACACAGACCCAGGCUCCCACGAACCCCCUGUGCCCCCUGGUUUUCGGCAAUGUCGCUCUUUGGCCCAGCAGCCCAAGCCCCGGCCCAGGCAUCCCGGCCCUGUUAGGUGCAGCUGGUCUCGGGCCCGUCUCAGGUAAGUAACGGGCACGUUGGGCUGCAAUUUCUAUUCCUGAAUAGGCCUCCUAUCUCAGAGUCAUGCUUCAACAAACACUCAAUUAAAAGGAAAAAACCUCUGGGUGAUGGAAGGCACCCUAUUACUGAGAAGCAGGGAAUGUUUACUGAAGAAAGAGACUUCUCUCUAGUUACUAGUAGCCUAGCGAAGAUUUAUGAGCCAGUUUGUCCCACAGCAAUCAAACUUGAAAUGUGAAGUCUAAACUGGUGCGUUUUUUAAUCAACAAAACAAACUAGGUCAUGAGAGUUGCUUAGAAUUAGGAAUUAGGCAAAGCAGUGGAGUGUUAAGACUGUGUGGCCAAGGAGCUAGGCCUGAGG